rnacentral:rRNA from 1 species
UAGGGAAUAUUGGGCAAUGGGAGCAAUCCUGACCCAGCCAUGCCGCGUGCAGGAUGAAGGCUUUCUGAGUCGUAAACUGCUUUUGCCAGGGAAGAAUAAGGGGGAUGCGUCCUCCGACGACGGUACCUGGUGAAUAAGCACCGGCUAACUCCGUGCCAGCAGCCGCGGUAAUACGGAGGGUGCAAGCGUUGUCCGGAUUUAUUGGGUUUAAAGGGUGCGUAGGCGGCUCAUUAAGUCUGGGGUGAAAGCCCGUUGCUCAACAACGGAACUGCCCUGGAAACUGGUGAGCUUGAGUACAGACGAGGUUGGCGGAAUGGAUGCUGUAGCGGUGAAAUGCAUAGAUAGCAUCCAGAACCCCGAUUGCGAAGGCAGCUGACUAGGCUGUAACUGACGCUGAGGCACGAAAGCGUGGGGAGCGAACAG